rnacentral:rRNA from 1 species
CCCCUAGAUGUUCUGGGCCGCACGCGCGCUACACUGAACAGUUCAACAAGUCUUAACCUUGGCCGAUAGGUCUGGGUAAUCUUUGAACGCUGUUCGUGAUUGGGAUAGACCUUUGCAAUUAUGGGUCUUCAACGAGGAAUUCCUAGUAAACGCAAGUCAUCAGCUUGCAUUGAUUACGUCCCUGCCCUUUGUACACACCGCCCGUCGCACCUACCGAUUGAAUGGUCCGGUGAAUUAUUCGGACUGCAACGCAACCAGUUCCUGGAUGCAGUUGCGGAAAGUUUUGUGAACCUUACCACUUAGAGGAAGGAGAANUCGUAACA